ACACAAUUCCUCUGGGCUAUUGUUAUUCCAACAAAGAAGGGGGAGGAUAGGCUCAGCAAAGUCACUCUGUGGCUUUCUGUGGCUAUACAUAUGUGAGCUGGAUCCUGAAUCACAGGACAGGAUGGCAUCUAGGCUGUGAUGUUCAGACCGAGAGCAGGGCUCCCGGACAAAAGCAGGGAAUGAAGCUUCUACCUUAUGGUGUCUUAUGUCGCCACCAAAUGUGCUGCCACCGGAGCACAGGGACUGCGAUACAUGAGCAGGUGGGGACACAGGAACGAGCUCGGUGCUCCAGUGCUGCUCUGUGACAUGUUCAGCCCA